GAAAGGGGAGAAGGUCAACUCUAGCCUCCCUAGGAUGGUUAUCUUUGGGUAAAUGGGAUCUCCUAAGUGGGAAUUGGUAGAAGUCAUCAUUGUGGUGACUACUAUAUAGCUCAUUUCCACUAGGAGAGGGGGUGUUUCUCUAAUGUACCUUUUUCUUCUAGGUGAGGAUUCACACUUUUGCUUGCCCUUGUUUUGACUAACCAUGAAUUGGGCAAACUUGUCUUUCAACUCACUUAUCUCUUUUCUUUGUCUUUGGAGUUCAUCCCUCAAAUGUACUCCCUCUUGACUAUCCCU
rnacentral:lncRNA from 1 species